rnacentral:snRNA from 1 species
GUGCUCAACUAGUCAGCACAUAUACUAAAAUUUGAAUGAUACAGAGAUUAGCAUGAGCUCUACACAAACAAGACACAUAAAUUUAUGAAGCAGUCCACAUUUUC